GGGUCACCCAGGGCCUUGGCGACCAAAGGGUCCAGAGAGGUGGGGUCCUGCUGUGUCUGCAAAAGAAAUGAAUUGCUGCUGUGGGAAGAAUAACAACUGUUUUUAGAAAAUGUUCAUAGCUGACCGAUUAAGCCAAUCUGUAGAACUCAAGUCAGCUUCUUCUUCUCCUUUAAGGCUCAGCUGGAGUUGAAUUUGAAUUAUUUCCUCAAAUUUUAAAUUGCUGGUUUUUGGAAAGCAAUGGGCACUGAAGGAUGCUAAAGGAAGAUGGCUUGCCACCUCCAAGGCUCUUAAACCAGAUGUGCUGUGGGUUCUGAAAGCAGUGCCCAACAAAGAGCUCCAGAAACGUUUUGAGCAAUGGCAGCAAUGGAAGCACCUACACAAUAAGUGACAGCCUUCCAAGAUGACUUGAUAGAUGAGAACACACUAAAAUGUUUGUGU
rnacentral:lncRNA from 10 species